rnacentral:rRNA from 1 species
UACAGAGGGUGCAAGCGUUAAUCGGAGUUACUGGGCGUAAAGCGCGCGUAGGCGGCUUUGUAAGUUAGAGGUGAAAGCCCGGAGCUCAACUCCGGAACUGCCUUUAAGACUGCAUCGCUUGAAUCCGGGAGAGGUGAGUGGAAUUCCGAGUGUAGAGGUGAAAUUCGUAGAUAUUCGGAAGAACACCAGUGGCGAAGGCGGCUCACUGGACCGGGUAUUGACGCUGAGGUGCGAAAGCGUGGGGAGCAAACAGG